AACACCAUCUCCCCCAUAGGCUGCAAUGGCAAAAUAUCCUCAGGCCAUGUUGUAACAAUUGGUAAAAAUAGGAACGAUCGUGCGAUGCAAUGUUUUGAUUAUUAAGAAACAUGAGUAUUUUAUCAAGAAUGUUUGAAGGAAUUUAACCUCUUUUAUUUAAAUAAGUUAUUGUGAAAUAUAAAACAAGUAACUAUUGAUAAAUUUCGUUAUGAUGUAUGACUACGAACUAUCACCGGUUUGUGAAAUUAGCAUAUAACAACAUUUAAAUGCAACAAACUUAAUUUUUGUAUCAACAUGUCUCUAGUUUAUAAGUAAGUUAGGUUCUAUGUAAAAUGUUUUCUUAGUAGAUGUGAAGGAUCUAAAUUUGACAAAUAUACGAACCAAAGUGACAAAACGUGUUUAACGAUAUGGUUAACCGGUUAAAUGUCACGAAAUUAUACAUUGGUCAGUAAAUUUUAUAUUUAAAUAAAUAAAAAUAUAAAAUGAAUUAUUAUAAGGUAUAAUUAGAAUGUAUUUAAGUGUUUUUGAAUAAAAAGAAUAAAACAUAAACAUUAAACUUCAAACACACAAAAACUACCUUGUUAUUUUAUACUAAGUAUACAUGUAUGUAUUUGUACAUAUGUAUUAUUAUCUAGUGAAUGACUAGUAAUGGGUCAUGAUUUAAGUGAUUUCAUGUAAAUAAUAUGAUUUCUAAAUCAAUUAAGAUAAGAUAAUUGGUGGAGAUAUGUGCCAACUUAACUAAUAAGUGCUUAAUCACUUAAGACAUUUUACUAAGAAUGCUUAUUAAUCCCUCUUCUAAUUUUCGAGAUUAAGACCUUCCCUCUCCUUAACUAGAACUCCUAACUAACUAAAUAACUAGUAGUUAGUUAGUUAACUAACUCUAUCUCUAAGCAACCACCCAAGCAAGUGGCUAGACAAGAUCACAUCACUUAAACUCACAUCCCAUCACAAGCUAGUCUAGGUUUUGUCCCCUUAUCCUCUUCCACUCUUUCCUCCUUCAUAUCCACGAAAUUUCCUCUUCAUUUUACCCUCAUUUGACCAGCCAUUACUAUAGGGAAUUACUCUCAACCUUCAUCUCAUUUUCAAGCACAAAAAUUUCCUUCCAAAGCCAUCAAAACCAUGAACUAAAGGGUUGCUGUCCCUUUUAUGUUUCAGCCACCAUUUCACCCAUCUACACCUUCCUUUUGCUUGAUAUUUUUACCACCAAAUACCCCUGGGAGUUAGUUGUUAGUCUACUCAAAAUUAUAGAUUCAAUACAGUGAGUAAACUACCCUUUUUCUUACUCUUUUGCUUUGAAGUUUUCGUGACAGCAACAUAGCCAAAAUAGUGGCUGUUUUGGAGCAUCGAACCAAAACCCAAAAGUUCUUCAUCUUCAACCUUCCAUUCUUCAAUUAUUCAAAUAAGGUGAAUUCAUACCCCUAUAUUUUCAUGUUUUCUUCAAGUUUUAAGUGGGGGAAUACAAGUUAGAACACUAAACAUAACUUAAAUUUAAAUGACAACUUUCUACAGAAACGUUGAGUCCUGUUCAUGGGCUGUUUUGACCAUCUUAAACUUAAUAUAUUUCAAAACUGUAGAAUAUGAAAAUAGUUCAUGUUUUUAACUUUCUAAGGACUACUCGCACACAUUCAUACGAUUUUUCUACAAUUUAUGGCGAUUUUUAUAAAACUGUCUGUCAUUUCAGACCAGUCUGUGAAGAUGUUCAUUUUCACACUAGUUUGAGAGCACUAAAAAUCAUAAUAAAAAUUAGGAACAAAGUAGACUUAUUUUAUAAACUCUCAGAGGUGACGGAUUCAGUUUUUGACUUACGAUGAUUUUUCUAUGAGUUUUCUAAAAACAGGGACAGUAAAGGGUAAAACUGUCAAAAGUGGUUUAUAGAUUUAUUAACACCUUCUAACAUUUUUGAGCAAUGUUUAUACAUUAAGGAAGUUAAAACACAAUCAUUUAAAUAUGUUUAAUUACCAUUUUUACAAAAGUGAUAAGUACAAAAAGGUCUUUAGUAUCAAACUUAAGGAUUAUUUCAUGCAAAGUUUCUAAUAAAAACGUAAGAAUAUGAACAACAAUUACAAAACAUACCAAAUCAUCUUUUAAAAUUUAUACAUAUAUAUAACCAUAUACAUAUAUAUGUUUUGUUUACAAANUAUGUGCUUUGUUCACAAACUUGUCUUCUACAUCAAAAAUAUACCUAUAUAGUUUUACGAGAACAUCACGAACUGUUACAUACUAGAAACACUAUUUCAAGAAGUUUACUUUCACCUAUAAGAACAAACGAACAUUUUCACAAGUAAAUCUGUUUUUAUACUAAGUUUUGUGAGACAUUAACUUCACGUGCGUUCGAGUACACAUUUCAAGUCCUGUAUUAUAUACCAGAAUCCCUUGGAGGGGGAGCAUGGUGUUUGUGUAUAGAUCUAUACCGAUUGACAACCCCGCGCCCUGACUGUUAGCUACAGUACACCAUUUGGGGUGACAAACGUCAGAACUUUCCAACGCCUGAAGAAUGUUGUGUAUAGGCAAUUCCAGUCAAUAGCAUGGUUAUAAAACUCACAUGGAGUAUUAAAAACACAUUGAUUUACGGGGUUUUUCAUACGUAUUGGAAAUUUUAUAUGUGCAUACAUUUUCUAGAAACAAACAUUGGUCUUGAUAGAAGGCUACAUUUAUGCUAGUAGAAAAUAUGUGAUUUUCUAGGAACAAACAAACAAAAACAAAACAUUUCAUUUCAUACAAAGAUUUUCAUUUAAUACUUAUGAAACUCACCAGUUUAAAUGUUGAUCUACUCUUUCAAAACUACUUGUAUGUCCCAGGGAUUCAGUAAUUACAUGUAACAAACAGCUUUUGAAGAAAGGACGCUGUGGCGCCAGUUUAAAUUCAUGUUUUUGGCAUCAUAUUGUAAUUGGUUUUGAACAUGUACCUUUUAACAAUGUAAACUUUCAAUUAUAUAUAUGAUGGUUGUAUUGCUUUCUUCUUAUGUAUUCAUUUGUUAUGUUACCACAUGAAGUCAUCCGCCCCAAACGUUUCCGCCGUUCCGGUUUGGGGGUGUGACAAAUUGGUAUCAGAGCAUUGUUUAUAGUGUGCUAAGUAUAUCAAACCACAUAAGAUAUAUACAAACUAUAAAUACAUAGGGGCUAAAACUCUCUGACUUAACAAUUUCAAAACAGGAACAUUAGGGGUCCUUUGCUGAUAAGUCUAUGUUUGCUAAGUGUAUACGUUAAGGUGGUAUAUACUAAAAGUUUUAUAGACAUAGAAUUUGUGAUUUUCACUUUACUUCCUUUUCCUUGUUUGGAUGUAGAUAUAAGGUAAGAUCACUUAUUCGACUGGCUAUUUAAUCUUGAUUGUAUAUGACCUGUAUACACAAGGCAACCAUAGAAGGACCAGGAAUGGACCGAGAUUUCAUGAAAAAUGUAAGUGCAUACAAACAUACUAGUAAGGAGUCAUAUUGGCAACAAAACAAAAAGUAUUAAGAUAAGUUAAACACUGCGAGUAAGCCUCGGGGUAUGUAAUCAUGUCUGGGAUGAAUAUAGCCUGAUCAACUAUAUUUAUCCAAGAGGUGACCAACGUAUGCCGAGGAAUGGUCGUAGUGGAUGACGAGUCUAAAACUUACCAACAAACCAUACAAAGAAAACUUUAACAUACAAAUUUAAAAUACUAUAGGAGUAUUUUGCGUUACAAUAGAACCACACACUUAGAUUCUUCAUAUGCUUCUUACCCCUAUUAUCGCAUAGGCAUAUCAGCUAGACUUCAUCUCCACAUAAACCCCUACUAUCCUGCCACCGAAGCCAAUUGAUGGAUCAAGAAGGAUCCAGAAGAAGAUUUCGAAGAGUACUAAUAGAUGAAAUACAAGGAAGAAGAUUUCCGAGAAGGGACCAGAUGGAGAAAGAAGUUCGGGAGAUACCGUCAAUAAACCUUACCCUAUCAAGUGGAGUGUGAGAACCUCCACCUCUCAUUUCAGGAAGCAACCCGCAAUUAACUACCUAGCCACACAUAUAGACUGGAGAUGACAACCGAUGAUCCACAACCGACAUAAACUCACUGCACCGUACUUCGGGCCAUAGCACCCAUAGACCGAUAAACAGAUCAAGAGAACAAUACAGAUCACCUACACUCCUUAGAAAAGGAGAUAGUCGUUAUAGGACAAAGAACCCUUACAGCUACAACCUGGACAAUCAUCACAGAAAUGAGAACAGAGGAGGCCACUCACGAAAUAGAAUCAUGCCGACACAUGAAGGUAAUCAGCAUACUGGUGCAACACUAGUUCUAUAAAUACACCCUACAACAUUUCAAAUUGUGGUAACAGCCGCCGUAACAGCAGUCAUGGCACACCUCGGCGCUAACAACACAAACAAAAGAGGGAACGGCGCCGAAAGUUCCAAUUGUAAUAACAACCAGGGACACCCCGAGUAUGUUCCUGCAAUGACGCCCAAGGACCUACCAAAAAGACAACAAACAGUGACAUUCCAUACCACCACCAUCCCUACUACCUCAGUGUCGACAAGACCAUAUGUUGGAAACCUACCAAAAUGCACCAAGUGUAUCUUUCAUCACAAAGGAAUGUGAAGGGAAAUGCACUGCAAGGACUGUAAUGAAAAUGGGCAUACCACAAAUUUCUGUAGGGUGUCGGCUCAACAAACCGCCCAGAACACAAAAGCUGGGAUGAGUCGGACUUGCUACAGAUGUGGAGAAGUAGGGCAUUUCAUAAAGGAUUUCCCGGAGACUAAAAACAAAGAUGUCAGGAGCGUCGGAAGUGUUUUAGCAAUAGAGCGUGGGAAAGCAGUAAUAGACCCCGCUGAGAUUCCGGUACGUUCAUUCCCGAUAGAAAAUAUGCAUGGAUACUAUAUAAUAGCAACGCGGAGAGGAGUAUUGUGAGUCGAAGAUUUAAUCAAUUUCUCAACCAAAAACCUGAAAAACUUAAACGAAAUAUUUACAGUAGAAUUGGAAUAAUCAAAAGCACUAGAGACGUGUACAUAGGGUGCACUCUAACACUAAAUCAACCAAUUCGUUCAAAUCAUCCUAAAACCGGUCACAAUAAAAAUUUACGACAUUUUCAUUUUAACAAUGUAUUAGUUAGUUUCCUCACCGUACCGAUAUAAUAUAUUACAAAAAGGCCAUUCGCCUAAAACCAUCGAGUAAUAGAACCCUCGUUGUCUAUGGUGACAAACCGGACACAAACCCCCGACUCACCUUUUACAACAAGACUCAGAAGUACCUACACAGGAGGUACCACGCCGUCCUAGCCCGUGCUGUGGAUAAGAAACAAGAAGAGAAAGACAUCAUGGAUGUUGAAAAAGCCCGUAACCUUCUCGAUAUAUUCCGAGAAGAUCUCCUGGGAAUACCAUCCAUACGGCAACCCGAGUUCAAAAAUCAACCUAAGUGUAGUAGUUGNAGGGUUGUUGUAAAUGCCAUCUCACCCAAGUUAAUCACCCCACUCAAGUAGAGACUAUGGACCCAUACUAGUGAAUCUAUGAUUACUAAGUGUAUAUAUUGGAGCCCUAUAUAAUUAAGAUUCUACGGACUUAGGGUUGGUAAUUCCGCUUUAAAUCCUUUUCCUUGUUUGGAUGUGGGCUUAGAAUAGAAUCACCGAUUCGACUGUCUUUUCAAUCUUAAUUAUAUACGACUUAUAAACACAAAGAGAUAAUAGAUGAAUCAGUUAUGAGUCAUACCAUGAACUCCAUGACAAGUUACCCAGGACAGUGGAUGGACAUGCUACCACUUGAGCGAUCGUAGAUAAAUCAACCAAACCCACACACUUUCUACCGACCAAGGAUACAAAGAAAAAUAGAAAAGAUGACAGGAGCAUAUUACAAGAAAAUUGUGAGACUGCAUAGUAUACCACUAUCAAUCAUUUUGGAUAAGGGGACAGGCGAUUCGCCUCGUGUUUUCAAUAGUCGUUAAAGAAGUCCUUUUUAUCACCCUCAAACUGAAAGGCAAAGAGGAAGAACCAUUCAUCGAAUCCUUAUACAACAUUAACUAUUACAUUAACAUCAAAGUCGCGUCAUUCGAAGCUCUCUGCAGAAGCAAGUGUAGAUCACCUCUUUGAUGGGAUGAGGUAGGUGACACACAAAUAGCUAUCAGGCAAGUUCCUAACAACACUCUCACUAGCCCCCAGAUCAUACGAGAAACUACAGAGAAGAUUGUUCAAACCCGUGAACGAUUGAAGGCAUCCCAGGAUCGGAAGAAGAGCUUGUCUGAUGAGACUCUUGUUAUUCCACUGGAUGAAAUUGAAAUCAACGGGAUUCUAAACUUCAUCGAAGAACCGGUGGAAAUCAUGGAUCAGGAGGUCAAAAGGACGAAACAAAGCCGCAUACNAAGGCUCGUUGGAACGCCAAGCGAGGACCGAAAUUCACUAAGGAAUGCGAGGAUCAAAUAAAAAAAAACACCCCCAAUUUUUUAGUGAUAUCUACAAGUUGAAUUUCGGGGCGAAAUUCUUUUAACGGAGGGAGAAUGUAACAAUUGGUAAAAAUAGGAACGAUCGUGCGAUGCAAUGUUUUGAUUAUUAAGCAAUAUGAGUAUUUUAUCAAGAAUAGUUGAAGGAAUUUAACCUCUUUUAUAUAAAUUAGUUAUUGUGAAAUAUAAAACAAGUAACUAUUGAUAAAUUUCGUUAUGAUGUAUGACUACGAACCAUCACCGGUUUGUGAAAUUAGCAUAUAACAUCAUUUAAACGCAACAAACUUAAUUUUUGUAUCAACAUGUCUCUAGUUUAUAAGUAAGUUAGGUUCUAUGUAAAACGUUUUCUUAGUAGAUGUGAAGGAUCUAAAUUUGACAAAUAUAUGAACCAAAGUGAUAAAACGUGUUUAACGAUAUGGUUAACCGGUUAAAUGUCACGAAAUUAUACAUUGGUCGGUAAAUUUUAUAUUUAAAUAAAUAAAAAUAUAAAAUGAAUUAUUAUAAGGUAUAAUUAGAAUGUAUUUAAGUGUUUUUGAAUAAAAAGAAUAAAACAUAAACAUUAAAGUUCAAAUACACAAAAACUACAUUGUUAUUUUAUACUAAGUAUACAUGUAUGUAUUUGUAUAUAUGUAUUAUUAUCUAGUGAAUGACUAGUUAUAAGUCAUGAAUUAAAAUGAUUUCAUGUAAGUUUUAUGAUGUCUAAAUCAAUUAAGAUAAGAGAAUUGGUGGAGAUAAGUGCCAACUUAACUAAUAAGUGCUUAAUCACUUAAGACAUUUUACUAAGAAUGCUUAUUAAUCCCUCUUCUAAUUUUCGAGAUUAAGACCUUCCCUCUCCUUAACUAGAACUCCUAACUAACUAAAUAACUAGUAGUUAGUUAGUUAACUAACUCUAUCUCUAAGCAACCACCCAAGCAAGUGGCUAGACAAGAUCACAUCACUUAAACUCACAUCCCAUCACAAGCUAGUCUAGGUUUUGUCCCCUUAUCCUCUUCCACCCUUUCCUCCUUCAUAACCACGAAAUUUCCUCUUCAUUUUACCCUCAUUUGACCAGCCAAUUAUACUCUAGGGAAUAACUCUCAACCUUCAUCUCAUUUUCAAGCACAAGAAUUUCCUUCCAAAGCCAUCAAAACCAUGAACUAAAGGGUUGCUGUCCCUUUUGUGUUUCAGCCACCAUUUCACCCAUCUACACCUUCUGUUUGCUUGAUAUUUUUACCACCAAAUACCCCUGGUAGUUAGUUGUUAGGAUACUCAAAAUUAUAGAUUCAAAACAGUGAGUAAACUACCCUUUUUCUUACUCUUUUGCUGUGAAGUUUUCGUGAAAGCAACGUAGCCAAAACAGUGGCUGUUUAGGAGCAUCAAACCAACACCCAAAAGUUCUUCAUCUUCAACCUUCCAUUCUUCAAGUAUUCACAUAAGGUGAGUUCAUACCCCUACAUUUUCAUGUUUUCUUCAAGUUUUAAGGGGGGGAAUACAAGUUAGAACACUAAACAUAACUUAAAUUUAAAUGACAGCUUUCUACAGAAAAGUUGAGUCCUGUUCACGGACUGUUUUGACCAUCUUAAACUUAAUAUCUUUCAAAACUGUACAAUAUGCAAAUAGUUCAAGUUUAUAAAUUUCUAAGGACUACUAGCACGCGUUCAUACGAUUUUUCUACAAUUUAUGGCAAUUUUUAUAAAACUGGCUGUCAUUUCAGAAGUGAUUUCGGACCAGUCUGUGAAGAUGUUCAUUUUCACACUAGUUUGAGACCACUAAAAAUCAUAAUAAAAAUUAGGAACAAAGUAGACUCAUUUUAUAAACUCUCAGAGGUGACGGAUUCAGUUUUUGACUUACGAGGAUUUUUCUAUGAGUUUUCUAAAAAC
rnacentral:lncRNA from 1 species